rnacentral:rRNA from 1 species
GCAGAAGUGAGAAUGUCGGCUUGAGUAACGAAAAUAUAGGUGAGAAUCCUAUACCCCGAAAACCCAAGGUUUCCUCCGGAAGGCUCGUCCGCGGAGGGUAAGUCAGGACCUAAGGCGAGGCUGAAAAGCGUAGUCGAUGGACAACGGGUUAAUAUUCCCGUACCAUUUUUUAUUGACAACGAGGGACGGAGAAGGUUAAGCUAGCCGGAUAUUGGUUACCGGUUUAAACGUUCGAGAUGUUGAGAAGCGGCGAAAACGCUUUGAGUUGAGACGUGAAUACGAGACGCUAAGGCGUCGAAGUAGUGUAUAUCAGACUUCCAAGAAAAGCUUGCACUGUCAUAAAUAAAAAAUGCCUGUACCAUAACCGACACAGGUGGGUAGGUAGAGUAUACUAAGGGGCGCGAGAUAACUCUCUCUAAGGAACUCGGCAAAAUAAC